rnacentral:rRNA from 1 species
CCUACGGGGGGCAGCAGUGGGGAAUAUUGCACAAUGGGGGAAACCCUGAUGCAGCGACGCCGCGUGAGCGAAGAAGUAUUUCGGUAUGUAAAGCUCUAUCAGCAGGGAAGAAAAUGACGGUACCUGACUAAGAAGCUCCGGCUAAAUACGUGCCAGCAGCCGCGGUAAUACGUAUGGAGCAAGCGUUAUCCGGAUUUACUGGGUGUAAAGGGAGCGCAGGCGGCUUUGCAAGUCUGAUGUGAAAGGCCGGGGCUCAACCCCGGGACUGCAUUGGAAACUGUAAAGCUAGAGUGCCGGAGAGGUAAGCGGAAUUCCUAGUGUAGCGGUGAAAUGCGUAGAUAUUAGGAGGAACACCAGUGGCGAAGGCGGCUUACUGGACGGCAACUGACGCUGAGGCUCGAAAGCGUGGGGAGCAAACAGGAUUAGAUACCC